rnacentral:rRNA from 1 species
GCGCGCGGACCCACCGCGCGAAACUUAAGAACUAUACAAUAAGACGAGGAAAAGAAACUAAACAGGAUUCCCCUAGUAGACGGCAGACAAACCGGGAAGAGACUCAAAUUUAAAAAAUCCUGGACGUUCCUUUACGCGGGGACCGGUUCCCCGGAAAAGGGUUUGGGUAAAAUUCUAACAAGAAGGUGGUUUUUCCGUGACCCGAACCGUGGUCCAAGGUUCCCUUGGGAAUAGGGUAUCAAGAGGGUGACAUCCCGUAACUUGACAACGAACAAACCGGUGACUCUGGUGAAUAACAACUUUUCUAACGAAGUUUCGAAGGUUGGUUUUGGGGGAAAUGGCAGGCUUCAAAAAUGGGGGUGGGUAAAAUUUCCAUUCUAAAAGAUAAAUAUAGGACGAGAGACCGAUAGCGAACAGUACCGUGAGGGAAAGAUGAAAAGCAACUUUGGAAAGAGAGUUAAAAAGUACGUGAAAUUGUUUGAAAAGGGGAAACGAUUGAAGUCAGUCGUGUCUGUUGGUUUCAGCCCGUUCUGGCCGGGUGUAUUACCAACAGACGGGUCAACAUUAGUUUUGAGCCGUGGAAAAAGGUAAAGGGAACGUAGCUCCUCCGGGAGUGUUAUAGCCCCUUAUUGCCUACCCUGCUUGAGACUGAAGAA